AUGUGCCACUCGUACACGUGGUUCUGAGCGUACCGCCCGCACCCGCCUGGCGACUGCUCGCUACGUGUUGUCAGCG
rnacentral:sRNA from 2 species